rnacentral:rRNA from 1 species
UGGGGAAUAUUGCACAAUGGGCGCAAGCCUGAUGCAGCCAUGCCGCGUGUGUGAAGAAGGCCUUCGGGUUGUAAAGCACUUUCAGCGGGGAGGAAGGCGAUAAGGUUAAUAACCUUGUCGAUUGACGUUACCCGCAGAAGAAGCACCGGCUAACUCCGUGCCAGCAGCCGCGGUAAUACGGAGGGUGCAAGCGUUAAUCGGAAUUACUGGGCGUAAAGCGCACGCAGGCGGUCUGUCAAGUCGGAUGUGAAAUCCCCGGGCUUAACCUGGGAACUGCAUUCGAAACUGGCAGGCUAGAGUCUUGUAGAGCGGGGUAGAAUUCCAGGUGUAGCGGUGAAAUGCGUAGAGAUCUGGAGGAAUACCGGUGGCGAAGGCGGCCCCCUGGACAAAGACUGACGCUCAGGUGCGAAAGCGUGGGGAGCAAACAGG